rnacentral:rRNA from 1 species
GACGAACGCUGGCGGCGUGCUUAACACAUGCAAGUCGAGCGGAGCGGCGAACGGGUGAGGAAAGCGUGAGUAACUGCCCCCCUCUCUGGGAUAAAAGUUGGAAAAGGCUGCUAAUACCCGCAUGGGGGGGAUGAUUCGCGUACUAUCAGCUUGUUGGUGGGGUGGUGGCCUACCAAGGCGACGACGGGUAGCCGGCCUGUGAGGGCGACCGGCCUCAUUGGGCUGAGAUACGGCCCAAACUCCUACGGGAGGCAGCAGUGUGGAAUAUUGCACAAUGGGGGAACCCCUGAUGCAGCAACGCGCGUGCGGGAUGACGGCCUUCGGGUUGUAAACCGCUUUCAGCCAUGACGCGGUAGUGGCAGAAGAAGCACCGGCUAACUACGUGCCAGCAGCCGCGGUAAUAC